rnacentral:rRNA from 1 species
AUUGAACGCUGGCGGGAUGCUUUACACAUGCAAGUCGAACGGCAGCGCGGACUUCGGUCUGGCGGCGAGUGGCGAACGGGUGGGUCAUGUAUCGGAAUGUGCCCUGUCUCGGGGGAUAACUACGCGACAGCGUAGCUAAUCCCGCAUCCGCACUUCUGGGGAAAGCAGGUGAUCGUACGACCUUGUACUUUUGGAGUGGCCGAUAUGGGUUUAGCUAGGUGGGGAGGUAACUGCUCACCGAGGCGGCGAUCCGAAGCUGGUUUUAGAGGACGACCAGCACCACGGGGACUGAGACACGGCCGCGACACUUACGCGAGGACGCGGCGGGGAAUUUUGCACAAGGGGGCAAACCCUGAUCCAGCAAUCCCGGGUAUAGGAUGAAGGACUUCGGCUUGGAAAGCACUGAUGGCAGGAAAGAAACGACGCUGUCUAAUACCGCGUGGAACUGACGGUACCUGCAGAAUAAGCACCGGCUAACUACGUG